GUUAUUUCCCUCGGCAUUAUGAACGCGCAUCUAACCCACGGGACCGCGCUGCCCGGCACGUUCAUGUGAUGUGACGUGUUCAGCACCUCCCCCUUCACACGCGGUCACGUUCAGUGUUCACUGUUACGUCACUGAGGCUAAAGAGACAACGCUUCAUACAGUCUAUGCUAACAACCGACAACAGUUUGCUCCAAAAGAUGGCAGAAAUAGCCGGAUCGACAUCCAGAGAGGAAAUGCUGAAGGAAAGUGGGCCUCCCGCCAUACUUGGACAAGGUCCCAAUGUGUGGAUAAUAGGAAGCAGCUACAUUAGACGUGGGGAAGAAAGAGCCAGACACACCAUGGGAAGCAACCUGGGUCUCAAUUGCCGUGUGUGGUGGUUUGGCAAGGGUGGUCUGAGGUGGAGGAACCUUCUUCCCUUUUUCUAUUAGUCCUUGAGGGGAAGAACAGUCCCGGAUGUCCUGCUCAUCCACUGUGGCGG